AGACCAGUGUUGAGAGACUGACAUCGGAGGACAGAGAGAGCCACUGGGACACAGAGACAGGUUUGAGACCAGUGUUGAGAGACUGACAUCGGAGGACAGAGAGAGCCACUGGGACACAGAGACAGGUUUGAGACCAGUGUUGAGAGACUGACAUCGGAGGACAGAGAGAGAGCCACUGGGACAGAGACAGGUUUGAGACCAGUGUUGAGAGACUGACAUCGGAGGACAGAGAGAGCCACUGGGACACAGAGACAGGUUUGAGACCAGUGUUGAGAGACUGACAUCGGAGGACAGAGAGAGCCACUGGGACACAGAGACAGGUUUGAGACCAGUGUUGAGAGACUGACAUCGGAGGACAGAGAGAGCCACUGGGACACAGAGACAGGUUUGAGACCAGUGUUGAGAGACUGACAUCGGAGGACAGAGAGGGACACA